UACGUAGGGUCCGAGCGUUGUCCGGAAUUACUGGGCGUAAAGAGCUCGUAGGUGGUUUGUCGCGUUGUUCGUGAAAACUCACAGCUCAACUGUGGGCGUGCGGGCGAUACGGGCAGACUGGAGUACUGCAGGGGAGACUGGAAUUCCUGGUGUAGCGGUGGAAUGCGCAGAUAUCAGGAGGAACACCGGUGGCGAAGGCGGGUCGCUGGGCAGUAACUGACGCUGAGGAGCGAAAGCGUGGGGAGCGAACAGG
rnacentral:rRNA from 1 species